GCUGGGCAUGGUGGUGCAUGCCUGUAAUCCCAGCUACUUGGGAGGCUGAGGCAGGAGAAUCACUUGAACCCAGGAGGCGUAGGUUGCAGUGAGCCGAGAUGGCACCACUGCAUUCCAGCCUGGGCAACGGAGUGAGACUCUGUCUAAA
ensembl:misc_RNA Metazoa_SRP Metazoan signal recognition particle RNA